rnacentral:rRNA from 1 species
ACCCCUGUGGACAUACCUAUCCUGUUGCUUCGGCGGGCGACGGGCCUCACGGCUCCGAGGCCGCCGGAGGUUCCCAACUCUGAAUCUUUGGUGCAUCUCUGAUGAAAAAAACCAAUAAUUAAAACUUUCAACAACGGAUCUCUUGGUUCUGGCAUCGAUGAAGAACGCAGCGAAAUGCGAUAAGUAAUGUGAAUUGCAUAAUUCAGUGAAUCAUCCAAUCUUUGAACGCACAUUGCGCCCGCCGGUAUUCCGGCGGGCAUGCCUGUUCUAGCGUCAUUUCACCACUCAAGCCCAGCUUGGUGUUGGGGCACCCGGCCGCCCGGCGGUCGGGGCCCCCAAGCACAUCGGCGGUCUCGCUAGGACCCUGAGCGCACUAACUCGCGGUAAAACGCGCCUCGCUCGGGAGCUCCAGGCGGGCUCCAGCCGCUAAACCCCCUAAACUUUUUAGGUUGACCUCGGAUCAGGUAGGAAUACCCGCUGAACUUAAGCAUAUCAAUAAGCGGAGGAAAAGAAACCAACAGGGAUUGCCCCAGUAACGGCGAGUGAAGCGGCAACAGCUCAAAUUUGAAAUCUGGCCCCCAGGCCCGAGUUGUAAUUUGCAGAGGAUGCUUUUGGUGACGCGCUUACCGAGUCCCCUGGAACGGGGCGCCACAGAGGGUGAGAGCCCCGUAUGGUUUGACGCCGAGCCUCUGUAAAGCUCCUUCGACGAGUGGAGGAGUUUGGGAAAGAUGCUAUAAAUAGGAGGAAAAUUUUUUUUAAAAAAAAAUACCGGCCAGAGACCGAUAGCGCACAAGUAGAGUGAUCGAAAGAUGAAAAGCACUUUGAAAAGAGGGUUAAAUAGCACGUGAAAUUGUUGAAAGGGAAGCGGUCGUGACCAGACUUGCGCCGGGCGGAUCAUCCAGGGUUCUCGCUGGGGCACUCCGCCCGGCUCAGGCCAGCAUCGGUUUUCGCCGGGGGACAAAAGCUUCGGGAAAGUAGCUCCUCUCAAAAGAGUGUUAUAGCCCGUCGCGUAAUACCCCGGCGGGGACCGAGGACCGCG